rnacentral:rRNA from 1 species
GUAGGUGGCAAGCGUUGUCCGGAAUUAUUGGGCGUAAAGCGCGCGCAGGUGGUUCUUUAAGUCUGAUGUGAAAGCCCCCGGCUCAACCGGGAGGGUCAUUGGAAACUGGGGAACUUGAGUGCAGGAGAGGAAAGUGGAAUUCCACGUGUAGCGGUGAAAUGCGUAGAUAUGUGGAGGAACACCAGUGGCGAAGGCGACUUUCUGGCCUGUAACUGACACUGAGGCGCGAAAGCGUGGGGAGCAAACAGGGAUUAGAUACCCUGGUAGUCCACGCCGUAAACGAUGAGUGCUAAGUGUUGGGGGGGGUUUCCCGCCCCGUCAGUGCUGCAGCUAACGCAUUAAGCACUCCGCCUGGGGAGUACGGUCGCAAGACUG